AUAUAGAAGUGUAAAAACACAAUUGGGUUGGUAGUCCCAAUGCAGUUUUAAAACUGUCAGUAACCUUCCUCCUCGGGUCGUCCGUCAUUUCUAAUAAAACU
rfam:Staphylococcus aureus RF122 complete genome